rnacentral:rRNA from 1 species
AGCGAACGUUAGCGGCGGGCCUAACACAUGCAAGUCGAGCGAGAAAGGGGCUUCGGCCCCGAGUACAGCGGCGGACGGGUGAGGAACACGUAGGUAAUCUGCCCUUCGAUGGAGGACAACGGUCCGAAAGGACCGCUAAUACUGCAUACGUUCCCCGGCUUCUCGGAGCUGGGGAGGAAAGCCUCGCAAGGGGCGUCGGAGGAGGAGCCUGCGUCGCAUCAGCUAGUUGGUGGGGUAAUGGCCUACCAAGGCGAAGACGCGUAGCUGGUCUGAGAGGAUGAUCAGCCACACUGGGACUGAGACACGGCCCAGACUCCUACGGGAGGCAGCAGUGGGGAAUAUUGGACAAUGGGCGAAAGCCUGAUCCAGCCACGCCGCGUGAGUGAUGAAGGCCUUCGGGUCGUAAAGCUCUGUGGGGAGGGACGAACGAACGGGUGAAGAGCCCGGAAUGACGGUACCUCCUUAGCAAGCACCGGCUAACUUCGUG